rnacentral:rRNA from 1 species
GACGAACGCUUGCGGCGUGCUUAACACAUGCAAGUCGAACGGAAAGGCCCUGCUUUUGUGGGGUGCUCGAGUGGCGAACGGGUGAGUAACACGUGAGUAACCUGCCCUUGACUUUGGGAUAACUUCAGGAAACUGGGGCUAAUACCGGAUAGGAGCUCCUGCUGCAUGGUGGGGGUUGGAAAGUUUCGGCGGUUGGGGAUGGACUCGCGGCUUAUCAGCUUGUUGGUGGGGUAGUGGCUUACCAAGGCUUUGACGGGUAGCCGGCCUGAGAGGGUGACCGGCCACAUUGGGACUGAGAUACGGCCCAGACUCCUACGGGAGGCAGCAGUGGGGAAUAUUGCACAAUGGGCGGAAGCCUGAUGCAGCAACGCCGCGUGCGGGAUGACGGCCUUCGGGUUGUAAACCGCUUUCGCCUGUGACGAAGCGUGAGUGACGGUAAUGGGUAAAGAAGCACCGGCUAACUACGUGCCAGCAGCCGCGGUGAUACGUAGGGUGCGAGCGUUGUCCGGAUUUAUUGGGCGUAAAGGGCUCGUAGGUGGUUGAUCGCGUCGGAAGUGUAAUCUUGGGGCUUAACCCUGAGCGUGCUUUCGAUACGGGUUGACUUGAGGAAGGUAGGGGAGAAUGGAAUUCCUGGUGGAGCGGUGGAAUGCGCAGAUAUCAGGAGGAACACCAGUGGCGAAGGCGGUUCUCUGGGCCUUUCCUGACGCUGAGGAGCGAAGGCGUGGGGAGCGAACAGGCUUAGAUACCCUGGUAGUCCACGCUGUAAACGGUGGGUACUAGGUGUGGGGUCCAUUCCACGGGUUCCGUGCCGUAGCUAACGCUUUAAGUACCCCGCCUGGGGAGUACGGCCGCAAGGCUAAAACUCAAAGGAACUGACGGGGCCCCGCACAAGCGGCGGAGCAUGCGGAUUAAUUCGAUGCAACGCGUAGAACCUUACCUGGGUUUGACAUGGAUCGGGAGUGCUCAGAGAUGGGUGUGCCUCUUUUGGGGUCGGUUCACAGGUGGUGCAUGGCUGUCGUCAGCUCGUGUCGUGAGAUGUUGGGUUAAGUCCCGCAACGAGCGCAACCCUUGUUCACUGUUGCCAGCACGUUAUGGUGGGGACUCAGUGGAGACCGCCGGGGUCAACUCGGAGGAAGGUGGGGAUGACGUCAAGUCAUCAUGCCCCUUAUGUCCAGGGCUUCACGCAUGCUACAAUGGCUGGUACAGAGAGUGGCGAGCCUGUGAGGGUGAGCGAAUCUCGGAAAGCCGGUCUCAGUUCGGAUUGGGGUCUGCAACUCGACCUCAUGAAGUCGGAGUCGCUAGUAAUCGCAGAUCAGCAACGCUGCGGUGAAUACGUUCCCGGG